UGGGGAAUAUUGCACAAUGGAGGGAACUCUGAUGCAGCGACGCCGCGUGACUGAGGAAGUACUUCGGUACGUAAAGGUCUAUCAGCAGGGAAGAAAGAAGACGGUACCUGACUAAGAAGCUCCGGCUAAAUACGUGCCAGCAGCCGCGGUAAUACGUAUGGAGCAAGCGUUAUCCGGAUUUACUGGGUGUAAAGGGAGUGUAGGUGGUCUGAUAAGUCAGAAGUGAAAGCCCGGGGCUUAACCGCGGGACUGCUUUUGAAACUGACAGACUGGAGUGCAGGAGAGGUAAGUGGAAUUCCUAGUGUAGCGGUGAAAUGCGUAGAUAUUAGGAGGAACACCAGUGGCGAAGGCGGCUUACUGGACUGUAACUGACACUGAGGCUCGAAAGCGUGGGGAGCAAACAGG
rnacentral:rRNA from 1 species